GUCUAUGGCCAUGCCACCCUGAACAAGCCUGAUGUCUGAUCUCAGAAGCUAAGCAGGGUCGGGCCUGGUUAGUACUUGGAUGGGAGACCACCUACGAAGACCAGGUGCUGUAGGCA
rnacentral:rRNA from 1 species